GAUGAACGCUGGCGGCGUGCCUAAUACAUGCAAGUCGAGCGAACGGACGAGAAGCUUGCUUCUCUGAUGUUAGCGGCGGACGGGUGAGUAACACGUGGAUAACCUACCUAUAAGACUGGGAUAACUUCGGGAAACCGGAGCUAAUACCGGAUAAUAUUUUGAACCGCAUGGUUCAAAAGUGAAAGACGGUCUUGCUGUCACUUAUAGAUGGAUCCGCGCUGCAUUAGCUAGUUGGUAAGGUAACGGCUUACCAAGGCAACGAUGCAUAGCCGACCUGAGAGGGUGAUCGGCCGCACUGGAACUGAGACACGGUCCAGACUCCUACGGGAGGCAGCAGUAGGGAAUCUUCCGCAAUGGGCGAAAGCCUGACGGAGCAACGCCGCGUGAGUGAUGAAGGUCUUCGGAGCGUAAAACUCUGUUAUUAGGGAAGAACAUAUGUGUAAGUAACUGUGCACAUCUUGACGGUACCUAAUCAGAAAGCAACGGCUAACUACGUG
rnacentral:rRNA from 1 species